UUGAGGUAUCUUUUAAAUGCCCAUAUGUCUUAGCAAGGAUGUAGCAAAAACACAUGAAAAUAAUUUGGUAUGCCUUAGUAAAGUUUAGGAGUGUUUUGUGUUCAGAUUGACCUAUCAAAAUCAUUGUUCUGAACAAAUUCUUAUUUCAAGUUGUAUAAGCUAGGUCAGAUGGUGGUACAAAGCUGAACAUAAACCUAGCAGUAUGUGUGAGUAUUCAUGUGGAUAUGUGCUUGGUUCUAUAUUGGUUGUAUGCUGGGGAGAUCUUGAGUACUUAUACAAGAAGUAAUCUUGAUUAUACCUUUUAUCUAGCCCAUUUGAGUGAGGUCCUAGGACAAAUAAUAUUAGAGCAGACCUGAUCUAUGACUUACAUAAAUUAGGGGACAUUGCAACAUGUGCCCUUCUAGAUCUUAGGUUUGUGAUUGGAUUUGGACCUUCAGCUUGAUGAGGAUGCGAAAGCUUAAAGGCGGGAGCAUGUAAGAAGUCGUGCGGGCUUGUGUUUAGUCCCAUAUUGGUUGUACGCUAGAGAUAUCUUGGAUACUGAUACAGGGUCAAGGAAUCCAAUUAAUGACUUUUGGCUAGCUUUUUCAAGUGAGGUCCUGGGUUAUUACCAUUUAAUUCCAUGGUCUAAGUGAAUUGUAGGACGUCCACCUAUAACUUUGUUUAGGAAAUUCUGAGUUUAUUGUGCUGCUUCCUAGUAUUGGUAUUUCUUAUAAAAAUUCAUAUGUGGUAGCGAGUGUUGAACCAAUCUUGAGCCAGUUUUGGCAGAUCUUGAGGUUGGAGCAAAUUAAUGAUUUUAAAGAUAAAUUGGUUUGGGCUAAUUUAGAACAUUCUUCUGGCUUACCCAUGCUGGUUACCUUUGGAACCUGCUAUUCCAUUGUCGUGAUAAUUGGAAUAAUAAAUUAAAUGGUAAUUUUAUGUAUGUAUGUGCUAGUGUAUUUCAAAAAGUAACAAAAAGGUAAGUGCAUGGUUGUUGUCAUCUUUAUGGUGCUUUUGCAUAUGUACAAUGUUUGUUCUGUGUUAUUCCCUUUGAGAUGCUCCUACAGCCUAGAGAGAUCUCAGUUCCCUGAGAUUUAUCCUGAAUGCAUAAGCUGGAAAGACAGCUGACAUGCAUCACUUUCUCCAAUGAAUGGUGCCACAAAUUGUCAAUUAUGGUUUGGCCUUUUUUCUAGAAUAAGUAACUAGACUUCUCAUAAGGAAAUUAUUCAUGCCUUAUUCUUGCUCAUAUGUUGUGUUAGUGAAAGCAUUUAUGCUUAUCAGAGCAUGUUUUGAUCUUGUUGCUGUCUAGUGUUCUAAACAAAUCAACAGAUGGAUGCUUUGCUUUCAAACAAGUCCUUGAGCUCCAGAAGCUACUAUGCAUAAAUUGGCGAAAGCACUCAUUCUUGUUGGAGUGGUGCCAUUAGAAACUGCUUUAAUUGUGGUAGGAGGAUUAAAAGCAGGUUCAACUUUGACAUCGUGAGUUAUUCCUUGGGAGCUGUCACUCUAGGGUAUCAGAGUGGCACUUUGGCAUGUUCAGCUGCUCCUGCCAACCACAACCUUUCUGAGGUUCUCUUUUAGAGAGUUGAAUUUUAUUUGUAUAUGAGUAUAUGAAACAGGGCAUUAGGUGAGCAGCACACAGUGGGAUAAACAAUUCAUCUGCCCUGAGAUUUUUCAGUUGCUAUAUUUGUUAUAAUUUUCACAUAUAUAUACUAACCAACCUAACUCAACAA